GGUUAAGUGACUAAGCGUACACGGUGGAUGCCUUGGCAGUCAGAGGCGAUGAAGGACGUAGUAACUUGCGAUAAGCUCAGAUUAGGCAGUAACAGCCACUUGAGUCUGAGAUUUCCGAAUGGGGAAACCCAACUGCAUAAGCAGUUACUGUUAACUGAAUACAUAGGUUAACAGGGCGAACCGGGGGAACUGAAACAUCUAAGUACCCCGAGGAGAAGAAAUCAACCGAGAUUCCGAUAGUAGCGGCGAGCGAAAUUGGAUUAGCCCUUAAGCUUUACAUGCGUCAGGUGAAGGUUCUGGAAAGGACCGCGAAACAGGGUGAUAGCCCCGUAGCCGACAGCGCAUGUUCAGUGAAAUCGAGUAGGGCGGGACACGUGUUAUCCUGUCUGAAUAUGGGGGGACCAUCCUCCAAGGCUAAAUACUCCUGACUGACCGAUAGUGAACCAGUACCGUGAGGGAAAGGCGAAAAGAACCCCUGUGAGGGGAGUGAAAUAGAACCUGAAACCGUGUACGUACAAGCAGUAGGAGCCUCUUCGUGGGGUGACUGCGUACCUUUUGUAUAAUGGGUCAGCGACUUAUAUUCAGUGGCAAGGUUAACCAUUUAGGGGAGCCGUAGGGAAACCGAGUCUUAACUGGGCGUUCAGUCUCUGGAUAUAGACCCGAAACCGGGUGAUCUAGCCAUGGGCAGGUUGAAGGUUGAGUAACAUCAACUGGAGGACCGAACCGACUAAUGUUGAAAAAUUAGCGGAUGACUUGUGGCUAGGGGUGAAAGGCCAAUCAAACUCGGAGAUAGCUGGUUCUCCCCGAAAGCUAUUUAGGUAGCGCCUCGGACGAAUACUACUGGGGGUAGAGCACUGUUAAGGCUAGGGGGUCAUCCCGACUUACCAACCCUUUGCAAACUCCGAAUACCAGUAAGUACUAUCCGGGAGACACACGGCGGGUGCUAACGUCCGUCGUGGAGAGGGAAACAACCCAGACCGCCAGCUAAGGUCCCAAAUUACAGCUAAGUGGGAAACGAUGUGGGAAGGCUCAGACAGCUAGGAUGUUGGCUUAGAAGCAGCCAUCAUUUAAAGAAAGCGUAAUAGCUCACUAGUCGAGUCGGCCUGCGCGGAAGAUGUAACGGGGCUAAGCUGUAAACCGAAGCUGCGGCAAUGCGAUUUAUCGUAUUGGGUAGGGGAGCGUUCUGUAAGCCGUUGAAGGUGUGUUGUAAAGCAUGCUGGAGGUAUCAGAAGUGCGAAUGCUGACAUGAGUAACGACAAGGGGGGUGAAAAACCUCCCCGCCGGAAGACCAAGGGUUCCUGUCCAACGUUAAUCGGGGCAGGGUAAGUCGACCCCUAAGGCGAGGCCGAAAGGCGUAGUCGAUGGGAAACGGGUUAAUAUUCCCGUACUUCUUACAAUUGCGAUGGGGGGACGGAGAAGGCUAGGUGGGCCUGGCGACGGUUGUCCAGGUUCAAGUGCGUAGGCUUGAGGGUUAGGUAAAUCCGGCUCUCUUUAAGGCUGAGACACGACGUCGAGCACCUACGGGUGUGAAGUCAUUGAUGCCAUGCUUCCAGGAAAAGCCUCUAAGCUUCAGAUUGUAAGGAAUCGUACCCCAAACCGACACAGGUGGUCGGGUAGAGAAUACCAAGGCGCUUGAGAGAACUCGGGUGAAGGAACUAGGCAAAAUGGUACCGUAACUUCGGGAGAAGGUACGCUCUUGAUGGUGAAGUCCCUCGCGGAUGGAGCUGAUGAGAGUCGCAGAUACCAGGUGGCUGCAACUGUUUAUUAAAAACACAGCACUGUGCAAAAUCGUAAGAUGACGUAUACGGUGUGACGCCUGCCCGGUGCCGGAAGGUUAAUUGAUGGGGUUAGCGUAAGCGAAGCUCUUGAUCGAAGCCCCGGUAAACGGCGGCCGUAACUAUAACGGUCCUAAGGUAGCGAAAUUCCUUGUCGGGUAAGUUCCGACCUGCACGAAUGGCGUAAUGAUGGCCACGCUGUCUCCACCCGAGACUCAGUGAAAUUGAAAUCGCUGUGAAGAUGCAGUGUACCCGCGGCUAGACGGAAAGACCCCGUGAACCUUUACUACAGCUUGGCACUGAACAUUGAACCUACAUGUGUAGGAUAGGUGG
rnacentral:rRNA from 1 species